CCACGAUUUGCACGAAGCGGUCGAUCUGCUCGGGGGCCGGCGGGCAGAAGUCUGGGAUGCGCAGCCGGUGCAGGGUGAGGCCGGGGCAGCUGUCGCUGUGCGGGGGCCCGCGCUCCGUCAGGGACACCAGAUAGAAAACUGAAGAUCUGGAGAAGUUCAGGAACUUGACCAGGAGAUGACUGAUGGCCUGGGGAUUUGGAACCAAGCAGCCUGGCUCCAGAAUCUUGAACAACACAGCAUUGUUUCCUAAGGUUAAAAAGAAGUUUACUGACUCUUCACAUAACCAUCCUCAUGUCCCCAAAUAUCAUCUGGGUUAAACAAUUGCAGAAUUUCUUAAUUUCUCUUCAUAUUUCACGAUUUCCAGGCUCUCUGAGUCACCCCCCCCCCCCCCCCCCGCCCCGCCCAGUGUCAUUCCUAGGAGGUGGGGACCUACAUCUGUGUGUGAGCUGACCAGUCCAUAUCCUUAUUUGAACAAUGUGCUUCUAGUGAUACAGGCUAAUUGUAAUUAUGAAUAUAGUUAACCUCUAUUGAAUUUGCUAUGUACCAGGCCCUGUGCCAAGUGCUUUCUGGAAGAGCCACAUGUGGAAGGCAUUUUUGUAUUCCUUUUGAACAUGAGUAAUCAGAGGCUUAGAGAAGUCAGUUAACUUGGCCAAGGAUGCACAACUAGUAAGUAGCUGGGCUGGUUGAGCCAAGGUCUCUCUGAUUUCAAGCCCAGGGCACUUAGCCAUGAAGAUGUACUUCCUUCCCUCUGUCCCCACCUGCCCCUGACACACACAUUUAAAACUCUGGUUCCAGCAAAAUGAAGGAAUUUCUCUUCCCUCAGAGUUCAACGUCUGCUCUGACCCUGUGGAAAUGCACUUACCGUUUACCCAGACAACACUGAGGUCUUGCCUCCAGGUACUUUCUCCAAGUCCCAGGAGCUGCCAAAUCUACCCUUUCCUCUCCUUCCUGCAGUCAAAGCUCUGAUUAAGCCCUUCCUGUUUGCACUCUCAUUUCCCACACGACUCCCUAGCAAUCUUUCUAGCCCAUCCCAAUUCAUUCCUUUCUCUCCUUCCCUGCUACGCUCUCAGCCACCAGUCACCCCUCACCCCCACCCAAUUUCUCUCAAUCCCAUUGCUCCCCAGGGUUUCUGGCUGCCCUGCCUCUGGAGACCAGACUCCAGCACUUGUUCCUUUCAGGCUGAACUUUUCUUAGUCCCUUUGCCUUGUUCUCCUUUCUUUGCUCCCUCCACUCAUUAGGGAAAACUUCCCACAUUUCUCCCUACCACCUACGUCCCUUCCCUGCAUCCUUGAGAUCCAGCCCAGAGCCCCUCUUCUCUAGAGGGAAGACAUUUCUGGGGAAGACAGAGAUUCUCUUCUCCCCUGAGUCCCCUAAUAGGGAUUCUCCCCUUCGUGUGGAUCUUUGCAGGAGUAGAAGUACAUCCAUCAACCCAGCAGGGCCUCCUUCUGGAAAGGCCAGUUGGCUCCCUUUGUAGGAAUUCCUCUAUUUUCUCUACUGCUCUGCCCCUCUCUUCAACAGACCGUGCCUGGAAAGACCCUGCCUUGGACUGUGUCCCAUUGUCAAAGGUGCUAUUUAAUUUUCUGUCUUGGGCCCAGGGAGCCUCCAAUGGAAAGGAAAAACCCUCUCUGAUGGUUUCCUGGCUAGAACCCCUACAGUGUCAGCACCCUGCAUGUCCCCCCCCCACACCCUCCAUAUGCAAUCCUGAUCUUGUUUUCCUUUCUCUUCUGUGAAGUGUUGCCUGACCCUCAGGAAGAUUUAGGUUCUUUCUGUACUCCUAUCUCACCUUAUAUAAAUAUGUACUCCCAGUAUGGCAGUUAUUUUAUUGGAUUGGGGUUACCUGUUUGUGUAGAAGCCAAGACAACAUCAUUUUCUCUUUGAAUUCCACACAUUUAAUAUGGAGCCUGGCACACGAUGCUCAAAAAUGUUAAAUGAACCAAUAAAUGAAAAAAUAAAUUAGUAGAAUGCCUAG